UACAGAGGUGGCAAGCGUUGUUCGGAAUUACUGGGCGUAAAGGGCGCGUAGGCGGCCCGUCAAGUCCCGUGUGAAAGCCCCCGGCUCAACCGGGGAACGGCGCGGGAAACUAGCAGGCUUGAGUUCGGGAGAGGGAAGCGGAAUUCCGGGUGUAGCGGUGAAAUGCGCAGAUAUCAGGAGGAACACCGGUGGCGAAGGCGGCUUCCUGGACAAUUACUGACGCUGAGACGCGAAAGCGUGGGGAGCAAACAGG
rnacentral:rRNA from 1 species